GUAUAUUAACUGUGCUAAGGUAGCGUAAUCAUUUGUCUUUUAAUUGAGGGCUGGAAUGAAGGGUUGGACGAGGUAUUGGCUUUCUUUUAUUCAGUUUGAAGAAUUUAAUUUUUGAGUUAAAAAGCUUAAAUUUAUUUAUGGGACGAGAAGACCCUAUAGAUCUUUAUAGUUCUAUAUUUUAAUAAUUUAGGGAUUUAUAUAUUUGGGGUAAAUGAACUAUUUUGUUGGGGUGACUGUAGAAUUUGAGUAACUUCUA
rnacentral:rRNA from 1 species